CCUCUUCCAUUUCAGCAGUUGAACUCCUAUAUUCCGGCUGCCGGUUAUCCGGCUAUGGCAAUAAAUGGUCAGCGCAAUAAACCUAUCGGACCCGGGGGCGGUACCCGGCGCCUCCACCCAAGCCCGCAGGAUCUCUGCGGGUUUCGGCGGGGGCGAAAUAGGAUCGACGAGGGCGUAAAGGCUGGACUUUUGCUCGGCAUGGUACCACCGACAUCGGGCCAUCUUAAUAGUUGCAAAUGACAACUAUGCUAUGGACAACGCUGUUGCUGCGUAAUGCAGCACCGGUAGUCCGCAAAGUCCUAGAGGUUUAGCUCUUUAGGCGGGGUUCGGAGGCACCUGGCAACAGAAGCCUCCACU
rnacentral:tmRNA from 1 species